rnacentral:rRNA from 1 species
CAGCAGCCACGGUAAUACGGAAGGUCCAGGUGUUAUCCGGAUUUAUUGGGUUUAAAGGGAGCGUAGGCCGCAGGUUAAGUGUGUUGUGAAAAGCAGUCGCCCAACGUCUGCCUUGCAGCGCAAACUGUCCUGCUUGAGCGCGCACAACGCAGGCGGAAUUCGUCGUGUAGCGGUGAAAUGCUUAGAUAUGACGAAGAACUCCGAUUGCGAAGGCAGCUUGCGGGAGCGCAACUGACGCUGAAGCUCGAAAGUGCGGGUAUCGAACAGGAUUAGAUACCCCGGUAGUCCCUGUCUCUUAUAC